UAACUUUUUAUUAAAUUAAGGGAAUAAGUUAGGGAAGGGGACUGGACCGAAGAACUCAAGAAUCUGAAUGUGGAGGAGGCUUGGAAUUACUUUAAGUCAAGAUUGCAGAAGCUAUCUGAAGUCUACACAUAAGCAAGGGGAAAAAAAA